AAAUUAAUUUAUUUGAUUUACAAAAUUGGGGCUGGAAAUCAGAUAUUUAUGUUUUGUUAUGGGGCUGAGAGUGUCAACAAAAAUUGCUUAAAACUAUCUGAAGUAUUAUACUUUUGCGAUUGGUAUAAAUGCAACAAAAAAGUAAAAAUGUUGGUUCUAUUUGUUUUGGUUAAAUCACAAGAAGGAAGUUUAUUCAAGGCGCCAUUUUUCUCACCAUCCUUACAACUUUUUUCAUCAAUAAUUCAGACGUCUGGAUCAUAUUUUUCAAUUCUACUUGCAAUUUUAUAAUUUGAUCCAUGAU